CGCGUAGGCGGUUUUGUAAGUCGGAUGUGAAAUCCCCGGGCUUAACCUGGGAACUGCAUUCGAUACUGCAUAACUAGAGUAUGGUAGAGGGAAGUGGAAUUCCGGGUGUAGCGGUGAAAUGCGUAGAUAUCCGGAGGAACACCAGUGGCGAAGGCGACUUCCUGGGCCAAUACUGACGCUGAGGUGCGAAAGCGUGGGGAGCAAACA
rnacentral:rRNA from 1 species